CUCAGUAACACGUGGAUAACCUGCCCUUAGGACUGGCAUGACCCCGGGAAACUGGGGAUAAUUCCGGAUAGUUCAUGGUAGCUGGAAUGCUCCAUGAUCGAAAGCUAUUGCGCCUAAGGAUGGGUCUGCGGUCUAUCAGAUAGUAGUGGGUGUAAUGUACCUACUAGCCGACGACGGAUACGGGUUGUGGGAGCAAGAGCCCGGAGAUGGAUUCUGAGACAUGAAUCCAGGCCCUACGGGGCGCAGCAGGCGCGAAAACUUUACAAUGCGGGAAACCGCGAUAAGGGGACACCGAGUGCCAGCAUCUUAUGUUGGCUGUCCGCAUGUAUAAAUCACAUGUGUUAGCAAGGGCCGGGCAAGACCGGUGCCAGCCGCCGCGGUAACACCGGCGGCCCGAGUGGUGGCCACUAUUAUUGGGUCUAAAGGGUCCGUAGCCGGUUUGGUCAGUCUUCCGGGAAAUCUGACGGCUUAACCGUUAGGCUUUCGGGGGAUACUA
rnacentral:rRNA from 1 species